GCAGCCUCCGGUGUGGGGCCGCAGCCCUCGCUCCCCUCAGAGCCGCCGGUUCGAGUCCCGCGUCCGCUCCCCUGCCGGGCAGAGGAGCUCUGAGCACAUUGAUGGGUUCCACUUUGCACCAGGCUUGGCUGAGGGGCCAGCAGGCAGUCUGGGAGUCAUGGGAAGCAAGAAGGACGAGAGAAAAAUCCUUUUCCUGCUGUGGGGAUCUGCACUUAGCUCCCAGAACACAACACAACAGGGACGUUAGGGCUUUGCCUUCACCCUGCCCUCUGGAUUUGGCUGGUGAUUUAUGGGGGGGAAGCUGACUGCCAUUUAAUGCAUUACCCAGAGACCAGCUGGAAACAAUGGGAUAGCUGCAAUUCAGGAAUAUCCGGACCAAAUGAAGCAUAUCAGA